GUUGAAGCGGCCGCAGAGGUAUUAAAUUGUAAAUUUAAUUGAUGAAGAGUAUUUCUUUUUUUAACA
rnacentral:tRNA from 1 species